rnacentral:rRNA from 1 species
AAUGCGAUACCUAGUGUGAAUUGCAGAAUUCCGCGAAUCAUCGAGUUUUUGAACGCAAGUUGCGCCCGAGGCUCGUACCGAGGGCAUGUCUGUCUGAGCGUCCA